GGCGGACGGGUGAGUAACGCGUAAGAACUUGCCCUUUAGACUGGGAUAACAGAGGGAAACUUCUGAUAAUACUGGAUAAGUUAGUAUAUCGCAUGAUAUGCAAAAUGAAAGCUACGGCACUAAAGGAGAGCUUUGCGUCCUAUUAGCUAGUUGGUAAGGUAAGAGCUUACCAAGGCGAUGAUAGGUAGCCGGCCUGAGAGGGUGGACGGCCACAAGGGGACUGAGAUACGGCCCUUACUCCUACGGGAGGCAGCAGU
rnacentral:rRNA from 1 species